UAGAUAAUCCAUAAUUCCAAAGAUAACGCCUUCCUCCAUUGUAUAACCUGUAGCCCUGAAGUGUGUGUGUUAUGGUAAACAAAGUAUGGUGUGGCAACCACCAAGAAAGGUUGUGUACCUUAGUGCUGCAGCGACGUGCAUUGGCCUGGCGUAUUUGGUGAAGGAUUAUACUGGUGGGAAGAAAUAUGAAGGAUCAAGUCAUGUAGACAAGAAAGUAGUUAUCAUUACUGGAUCAAAUACAGGAAUUGGAAAAGAAACAGCACUUGAAUUAGCAAAAAGGGGUGCACAUGUUAUCAUGGCAUGUAGAGAUGCAAGAAAAUGUGAAUUGGCACGGCAAGAUAUUGUUCUGCAAACUAAGAAUAAAUAUGUGUACUGCAGAACUUGUGAUUUGGCAUCACAGAGCUCAAUAAGACAAUUUGUAGAGAGAUUUAAAUCAGAACAUCAGCGGCUUGAUAUCUUGAUAAAUAAUGCAGGUGUUAUGAGAUGCCCACACACCAAAACAAAAGAAGGCAUUGAGAUGCAGCUUGGUGUAAAUCAUAUGGGUCAUUUCUUAUUAACAAACCUAUUAUUGGACAAAUUAAAGGCAUCUGCUCCAAGCAGAAUAAUAAAUGUGUCCAGUGUUGCACAUCAUAAAGGUCAUAUCAACAAGGAGGACCUAAACAGUGACCAGCAUUACGAUAAGGCUGCAGCCUAUAACCAAAGCAAACUAGCAAACUUGCUAUUCACCAGAGAACUAGCUAGGAGAUUGCAAGGUGCUGGCGUGACAGUGAAUGCUGUGCAUCCAGGCAUUGUGGAUACAGAGAUUAUACGACACAUGAGUUUCUUUAAUAGCACUUUAUCUGCUAUAUUCCUGAAGCCAUUUAUUUGGAUGUUUAUCAAGAGCCCUCAGCAAGGAGCACGAACAACAGUCUACAUGGCUCUAGAACAAUCCCUUCAAGGUGUAAGUGGUAAAUAUUUCAACGACUGCACAGAAGAGGAAGUAGCACCACAAGCCAAAGAUGAUACAAUGGCACAAUGGCUGUGGGUUGUCAGUGAGAAGUGGACAAGACUUAACACGACAAAAUAAUAUUUGAUAUGGAAAGGAAGUCAUGCCAGGAAUACCAAGGAUAGAGUUUCGCUGUAACAAUGGAUCACAUAAACAUUGAGAUGCCAAAUGAAGUAUGCUAGCAUGAUGGACAGCCAGCUGGAUCAUGUACACUGUGAUGCACCGACACUAUGGGUUUAAAUGUCCAAAAUUUAAAUAAAGAUCUCGUAGCAAGGUACUGAAUUGAAAUAUUUGCACCAUAUCUACAUUAAAUAUUUGUUGAAAUUACUUGCUGUAACUACAAACAACUGAGACUUUUAGUGGAAAAAACGUGUAGCAUCUUGUUAGGAAUACCAUAUGGAAAGAUGAAAACCAAAAUAUGCUGGUGGGUGAAAAUGCGCCUCUAUUUAUUUUUAUUAGAAGUUGAAUAGGAUACAUAAGAAUGUUACAUUGCCUCAAGGUUACUUUCCGAUUAUCAUGCUUUAAACAUAGAAAGGGCGAACUACGCACCAGGCAGACAAAUAAUGCUACGAAACAUUUUCAAUAUAAUAUUUCCAAUGUAGCUUCAUUACUGUCCUUUAUACUAUUAUUCAUAUGAAACAAAGUUAGAAAAGUACACAUCUUAUUACAAAUAGGUACGCACCGUAAAUGCAAGUGCAUUUUAUGUAGUCAGCUUCGUUGUCAGUGUCUCGCAAAUAACGUCGUGUGAAGAAAAUGAAUGUAUAUAAAUAAUUAAAUAUUAAUUGAAUGAGUAGGCUGCAGUUAUUAAUUAAUAUUUAUUCUGCACUGUAAACAAACAAGUACAUAUAACACAAGAAGAAAUAAUGAUUAUCAUAAAUAUGUACAUAAGUUAGAACUUUAUAAUAGCAAACAGUUAGUAGCAGGUUGUUUCUUUUAUAACAAACUGCCUACCAUAAUAAAACAAAUAAGAAAUAACAAUCAGUUUAAGAAGGAAUUGAAGGACUUUCUUAUUAAGGGGUGUUACUAUUCACUAUAAGACUAUCUUAAUGAAGAAUUUUCGAAUAUUGGCUACUGAUAAUUCAAUAUGUAUAAUGCUAUAUCUCCAAACGGAAUUAUAUCAUAUUCAUUAUUGUAUGGUGAUAAUGUAUAAUAUAGAUUGACUUAUCCUAUAUCAAUGUAUCUUUGAUCUACAGGAAAUAAAGUAUUAUUAUUAUUAUUA